UACGAAGGGGGCUAGCGUUGCUCGGAAUCACUGGGCGUAAAGCGCACGUAGGCGGCUUCUUAAGUCAGGGGUGAAAUCCUGGAGCUCAACUCCAGAACUGCCUUUGAUACUGAGGAGCUUGAGUCCGGGAGAGGUGAGUGGAACUGCGAGUGUAGAGGUGAAAUUCGUAGAUAUUCGCAAGAACACCAGUGGCGAAGGCGGCUCACUGGCCCGGUACUGACGCUGAUGAGCGAAAGCUAGGGGAGCAAACGGG
rnacentral:rRNA from 1 species